UGGGGAAUAUUGCACAAUGGGCGCAAGCCUGAUGCAGCCAUGCCGCGUGUAUGAAGAAGGCCUUCGGGUUGUAAAGUACUUUCAGCGGGGAGGAAGGCGAUAAGGUUAAUAACCUUGUCGAUUGACGUUACCCGCAGAAGAAGCACCGGCUAACUCCGUGCCAGCAGCCGCGGUCAUACGGAGGGUGCAAGCGUUAAUCGGAAUUACUGGGCGUAAAGCGCACGCAGGCGGUCUGUCAAGUCGGAUGUGAAAUCCCCGGGCUCAACCUGGGAACUGCAUUCGAAACUGGCAGGCUAGAGUCUUGUAGAGGGGGGUAGAAUUCCAGGUGUAGCGGUGAAAUGCGUAGAGAUCUGGAGGAAUACCGGUGGCGAAGGCGGCCCCCUGGACAAAGACUGACGCUCAGGUGCGAAAGCGUGGGGAGCAAACA
rnacentral:rRNA from 1 species